ensembl:misc_RNA 7SK 7SK RNA
GGAUGUGAGGGCCAUCUAUUCACAACAUCUGUCACCAUAUUGAUCACCAAGGUUGAUGUGGCUGCCAACCUGGCUGGCUAUGCGGCUGUGCCCUUCCUCCCUCACUGCCCCACGUACAUCCUUGCCAAAGCUCUGUGCUUGGUUGAAGAGAACUAUCUUCCCGGAUAAAAUGGUUAAGUGGUACAAGUUUUACAAGCAGUCUUCAGCUUCAAAUUGAAAAUCACUUAAUUAUAAAAAUACUUCUAUUCUUUUCAAUGAUUUAUGAAAUAAAAAUAUAG